rnacentral:rRNA from 1 species
AUGGACUCCGUCUUCGCGCUCGCUGCGGUGCCCCGGGCUAUCGUCCUGGAGCGCGCGGCUGCGCGCGUCCCCGGCUGCCUCUAUCUCUGCCUCUGGGCGCCGGUGACCGCCCAGCUCCCAUCAAGCCAUUUAUUCUGCUUGGACGCGUGGAUCGACGGCGGCGGCGGUGCUCGCGCACGGGCGAGCUUCGAGGCGUACCGGGGAGCGCUCUGCGCCGUCGUAAGCGGGUGCGUGCCCGGGUGGGCGUACAGGGAGGGCCGCGCCUACAUGGAGCUACCGGAGCCGGACCUGACGGCGUCGGCUUCGCUGCAGGUGCAGCAGCAGUUCUACCAUGAAACCGGCGCGAAGAUGGCGGUGUUCAUGGGAUGCGAGAGCGGCGAGGUCGAGAUCGGGCUGUCGACUGCAUCGGUGGCAGCGGCGGCCGUGGCGGAUCACGUGCACCAGUCGUUCCUGGAGGACCUCCUCCAGCUGCCGCCGGCAGGGCUGUCGUCUUCGUCCUCUCCCGUGCCGUCACUCUCGAUCGGGAGCCCGGAGUACUCCUCUCUCAUUCGCGCAAUGGCGACGCCGGUAGCAGCGCCGGGCGAGCCAUCCACGCAGCCACCGAUGAUGCAGGCGUCGCCGCUGCCCGGCUUGCUCGCUCCGAUCGCCGAAGCCAACGACUAUGCCUUAAUGGUGCAGGCAAUGCUCGCGGUCGUCCCCUCCUCCGGUAUGUCGACCACCUCCACGCCGCCGCUUCCACCGUGUCCACCCUGGCUGGCCAGCCACCGCUCGCAGCGGUCGUCGCCGCGGCGGACGACGGCGUUCAAGCCGUAUCGCGCGGCGCUCCCGCCAAGGGCGCGGCCGCGGCCAGGCGCGCCGGGGCAGAGGAUGAUCAAGACGUGCAUCUCCCUCCUGGCAAGCGUGCACAUGGCAAUGCGCAACCGGCCGGAGCACGCCACGCGGCACCGCGAGGACAGCAGCGCGCCGUCCACCACCAGCCAGCUGCACCACGUGAUCUCGGAGCGGCGCCGGCGCGAGCGGCUCAACGACAGCUUCCAGACCCUCAGAGCUCUGCUCCCUCCCGGCUCCAAGAAAGACAAGGCCAACGUCCUCGCGAGCACGACGGAGUACAUGGCGAAGCUGGUAUCCCAGGUGACCCAGCUCCGAGAGAAGAACCUGCAGCUCGAGGCGCAGCUCGGCCUGAACCAAAGUGCAAGCGAUGAUAACGCCUCGGGGAAGACAGUCGAGGUCGAGGUGACCACCGGGGCGUCGACGUCGACAUCGACGGCGCCGAGUCAGCAGCCGCGGGAGGUGGGCGUGCGGGUGACGGUGCGGGCGGAGUGCGACAUGUCGGAGGUGCUGGCCUCGCUGCUCGCUCGGCUCAAGGGCACAGGGAGUUUCGCGGUGGUGUCCGUGGAGGCGAGACAGCAGAGCAGCGCGCUUGCACGGGCCAGCCUGACGUUGCGGAUGACGGAGGCUGGCGACGUCGUCGACGCGACAUGGCUCGAGGAAGCUCUGACGAAGGUUGUCGAGGACGCGGUGAUGAAGACGCGCCGCCGGUGCCACCCCCAAGGUCGCCGUAGGUAG